rnacentral:lncRNA from 10 species
AGAAAUACUAGGCUUUAGAAUUUCACCAUAUGAAUUUUGGGAGAGAGGAGCACAGUUCAGCCCAUAACUAACACACGACGGAAUGAAGUUGAUAAUAGUGAGACCUUGUUGGUACAAGACUAUGUAACAUAACCUGCGCUUCUCAACAAAGAAUUGCUUUUCUGACUUCUGCACUCAGUUCUUUCCUCCAGCUCACUUUAUUGUAAGAACCUUGGUGUCUGUAAUCGGCUCGGAACCCUUGCUGCUCUUUCACUGAAUAUCGCUGUCUGGAGCAACACGCUGUCCUGGAUAGCUAACGUGUUUAUGAAUGCAAGGAAAUUUUCAAAAAGGGAGUUUGAAAUUUAACUCCACAAACUACUAUCUGGAUUGGAAUGCUACAUUAAAUGUAUUAUAAUUUUGUAUGGACAUAUAAGGAUGGGGAAUGAAAAGCAUCCAAGGCCAUAUGUUGAUAAUCUUUUGAUAUGUUAAGAAAUAAUCUAGUGUUAUUUUCUAUUUCUUCUCAAAUGUUUUUAGAGGUUACUUGGUACACUGGUCGACAAAACCUUGAAAUGUUGAUGUUUAAGGGCUGUUGAUUGCUGGCAGCAAAGAAGUCCAACUGUGCUGGUACCCGAGAUAGCGUCUCCACAUUUUCUUCCAGGAUCAUCACCUUUGUUCUAAAUAGCUCCCACAUAGUGUGAACAGAAGUCAUAUGUUUUAGAUUUUCUGCCUUGGCACCCAGG